rnacentral:rRNA from 1 species
GACGAACGCUGGCGGCGUGCUUAACACAUGCAAGUCGAACGGAAAGGCCCUGCUUUUGUGGGGUGCUCGAGUGGCGAACGGGUGAGUAACACGUGAGUAACCUGCCCUUGACUUUGGGAUAACUUCAGGAAACUGGGGCUAAUACCGGAUAGGAGCUCCUGCUGCAUGGUGGGGGUUGGAAAGUUUCGGCGGUUGGGGAUGGACUCGCGGCUUAUCAGCUUGUUGGUGGGGUAGUGGCUUACCAAGGCUUUGACGGGUAGCCGGCCUGAGAGGGUGACCGGCCACGUUGGGACUGAGAUACGGCCCAGACUCCUACGGGAGGCAGCAGUGGGGAAUAUUGCACAAUGGGCGGAAGCCUGAUGCAGCAACGCCGCGUGCGGGAUGACGGCCUUCGGGUUGUAAACCGCUUUCGCCUGUGACGAAGCGUGAGUGACGGUAAUGGGUAAAGAAGCACCGGCUAACUACGUGCCAGCAGCCGCGGUGAUACGUAGGGUGCGAGCGUUGUCCGGAUUUAUUGGGCGUAAAGGGCUCGUAGGUGGUUGAUCGCGUCGGAAGUGUAAUCUUGGGGCUUAACCCUGAGCGUGCUUUCGAUACGGGUUGACUUGAGGAAGGUAGGGGAGAAUGGAAUUCCUGGUGGAGCGGUGGAAUGCGCAGAUAUCAGGAGGAACACCAGUGGCGAAGGCGGUUCUCUGGGCCUUUCCUGACGCUGAGGAGCGAAAGCGUGGGGAGCGAACAGGCUUAGAUACCCUGGUAGUCCACGCUGUAAACGGUGGGUACUAGGUGUGGGGUCCAUUCCACGGGUUCCGUGCCGUAGCUAACGCUUUAAGUACCCCGCCUGGGGAGUACGGCCGCAAUGCUAAAACUCAAAGGAAUUGACGGGGCCCCGCACAAGCGGCGGAGCAUGCUGAUUAAUUCGAUGCAACGCGUAGAACCUUACCUGGGUUUGACAUGGAUCGGGAGUGCUCAGAGAUGGGUGUGCCUCUUUUGGGGUCGGUUCACAGGUGGUGCAUGCCUGUCGUCAGCUCGUGUCGUGAGAUGUUGGGUUAAGUCCCGCAACGAGCGCAACCCUUGUUCACUGUUGCCAGCACGUUAUGGUGGGGACUCAGUGGAGACCGCCGGGGUCAACUCGGAGGAAGGUGGGGAUGACGUCAAGUCCUCAUGCCCCUUAUGUCCAGGGCUUCACGCAUGCUACAAUGGCUGGUACAGAGAGUGGCGAGCCUGUGAGGGUGAGCGAAUCUCGGAAAGCCGGUCUCAGUUCGGAUUGGGGUCUGCAACUCGACCUCAUGAAGUCGGAGUCGCUAGUAAUCGCAGAUCAGCAACGCUGCGGUGAAUACGUUCCCGGG